UCAUUGUGACCCCAUCCGGACAAGCGCUCGCAUCACUGAAGCCAACACAACUGCAGGAGCUGCCUGCUAGGCUGGCAUCAUGGGAGCUGCGCUGGGGGAUGCAGAUCCAUGAUGUUACUGCAUUCAGUUAUCUCAGAUCACUAUGGAGUUUCCUGGAUUGUUCCUUCUUGCCUGCCAGGACCUUUGCAGAGAUUUUCUAGGCGUUAAUGCAUGGAGUGAAACUGAGUGCAGUGAUCUCCCCAGACCUGAGAAAACUUGCUCGUGACUUUCCUUACCACGGAUCUAGAAAGACAUCUACCACACAUCUAUCAAAAUCGCUGCCUUCAUCCUUCACUGUCGCUGUAUUUUUGCCACCCGUGUCUGUCCUGUGGCCACCAGCUCUCCUGAAUGUUAUGCUCUCUCCAAUUAGGCAAGGUUUCUUAUCUGCAUUAUUGCUGUGGAAGGAACCUUAGGAGUUUGGACCCCACAGUGCUGAGAGCGGCAUAAAACCAGCCAGGAACCAUGAUCAUAGAGAGCUAACAAAUCCUUUUUGGCUCACUUUAUGUUUUAAUACCUUGACAUUGCUUAAAAAAAGAAAUUACGGAGAGCGGUCCAAAAGUUUCCACUAGAGGCAUUUCCCUGGGAACCUCGUGUCUCUGCAUACUAGACAGCACAGUUCAAUGCUCCUGAGCAUCUUGGGGCUGUCAGGAGAACAACCUGUCAUUCACAGCCUAACAAAAGGCUCCUCCUACCCCAUAUUAAGUUAUUAUCUGUGUUUUCAAGCAUUGUUCCAGGACAGUCUCAUCAUGGAAAAGGUUAUCCCCUGUCUAUUGAACAUUUCUUCACUGUCUUUUCCCCCACACACAUUUAAAAAGCACCUCUCAGGCACCCAAAAAUGCAAGUCUGGAAAGAAAUUUCAGGAUUUCCAAAAUAUGUUUGAAGGAGAGGAAAUCAUUCACUCUCAUGCUGAAAUUAAGGUGUGUCAAAGUGUUAAAAUUUGUUCUGGAGCUUCAAGGGUUAAAAACGUGUUCUAAAAUGUGAGUUGAGGUAAUCUCACGUUUUAGCAAAACUGUUGUCUGAUAACACACCCACCGCCUUUUGAUGAUAUGGAAGGAACUGCCGGAGGAACGGAAGAGGGUGCUGUCAGUCUCAGGUAAGAUGCAUUUAGCAAAGCUGAUAGUAGCCCAGACAGUCUCUCUUGCAGGAAAGUAGGGGGAAAGGAAGCACACCACGUAGGUUCAGCCCCAGUUGAUGGGCUUGAGCCACUCAGCCAGCUGCAGCUCCCUGCUCCAAAUUCUGCACAGUGCAGAGCCCAGCAACAGGGAUGAACUUCUUGCUUGGCAUCAGAUGCCCAGAGGCACUGCAUGGCAUAUUAAGCAUCAUGUAGGCAUGUGAUCCUAAGUCACUGGCAGCAUCCCAGCAGAGUCAUAUUCCCAUUGCAUUCCUUGGAUAUCUCCCAGCCACUGGCCUGAGAAAGUCACUAACCUUCAUAUGCUUCAUUGUUCUGGCGGGAUGUCUCCAUCCGGAUGGUGUCGCGUGACUUCUGCUGACCACUGAGCAUGCACUUACACAGCUCAUCCCAGAAACAUCUGAUCUAACAGACACAUUCUGGCAAUACCACACCCCCUGCUCCUCAACACCCACCAGCAGGAUGCACAUCUCUUCCAGAGCUGCGGAGCAGCUGGAAAGAAAUGGAAGGAAUGAUAACCUCCAGGACAAUCCUGAGUCAUAAAAUAUUGAUAAUAAUUGACUCAAAGAAAGAAAGAAGAGUUUUCUAGGAAAGCUACGAGACAACUGAGGAAACAUGUCUAGGAGAGUGAAACCUCAGUCAUGGCAAAGCACUUCUGGAAUCCAAAUGAAGAUGGAGAUGUCAUGGAAACUUGGAUCUGGAUGAUCCAACAUUCCUCCAGCUUUGCAGUGGAAGGCCAUGGAGAUACUGCAUGACAGAGAAGGAGGUGCACCCAUGUUCCCCCUCACAAGGACAUGAGGGAAUUGGGACCAACUGCUGCUGCCACCACUGCCACCUGCUGAGAUCUCCAGCUCAAAGUGACCUGGACCUACUCCAUCUUCUGGGGCAGAGAGGCUACAGACACCUGGGGUCAGACUGGCAAAAGUACCGAGUGAUCUGCAUUGCAAGCAAAGUGCCUUCAGAGUAACAUUAUGGGAGUCUCUGGUUCCAGAGGUUCAAGAAUCCUGGCCAUUCCCAGCAGAAACCCUGGAAAGAAGUUCCCUGUACCACAAUCCCUCUUGUUUCAGCCAAGGAUGUAUUUUGCCCUCAUGGAUAUUUUGUAUCAGGCUAUCACAUGUUUGCCACUGAUUUCCUCUCCAAUUUGGGUGACUUCAGCAUCAAAGCUCACUAACAAGGGCCUUCUAGAGGCUGCUCAGCUCAUUUGCUUCUAUCAUCUCAACUUCAUGUCUUGCCCAAAGAUGUUCUCAAGUGUUCUAAUUUAUUCACUGAACUUUUCCCAACAUUAGGCUUUCUUGUCCACCCACCAUUCUCCACUCCCCCUCCCAGUCCUCUCCACAAUUUUCGUUUCCUUGUCCUCUUCUCACAGUACGUGCUCAGCUCUUACAUUCACCAAAAGCAAUUGUUUUUUCUUAUAUAUCUGCAAUUUUGUCUUUCACAACAGUAAUCCUCUGCACUCUGUAGAUUUUAAUAACAUGCCAUUGUCUGAACAUAUAUAAUAUGCACUUUAAAAAAUGAAGAAGAAAAACAAACAUAUGACUGUAAAGUGAACGGCCAGUUAGUGAUUCCAACUCCCCUAAUCUCUCUGUCCUCAUUUCACUUCAGUAAAAUGGAAGUUGGUGCUUGCUCCUUCUUCUUUUCGCAAGAGCUGCAGUAAGGGGAAAUCUCUACAUAUUUGUGAACCGCUCAGAUUUAGAGUGAAAGUGUCACAGAAAAGCCCAUGAGGAAAUGUAAUCAGUUUGCACUCUACCCAAAGCUUAAGUGGUGUUCGGUAAACAAGGUCUGAGGUCAAGUGAUGAGGGUAAGAAAAAAUUCUGAAUACUCACUCAGGGAACACAGCGACGAUCUAUCGUAUACAGUGAUCAUCUUGUGACUGUGACACAAUGCAGACACAUACAGAAGGCUGAAAUAAGGCACAAAGAGUAAUCGUGACUUUAGAAUUUCUCAUUUCUGAGCACUUCCUGUUUCCAGCCAUGGUGGUUUUUUCAUGUCAUUCCUAAGAGGUAAUAAGAACACUGAGAAUAUAGAAAUGAGCAUCCAUCUAUCUGAAGUACUAUGCAGCUAACGUAUUUAGAACAAUAUUUCUUGGUUAUCCUCGUGCCCUCUGUGACAAUACAAAAUUGGACUUCAUGGAACACAAGCCAUUACCUCCUUCGGAAGCCUCAGGAACUGUUCAUAUUCCUGUGCACUUCCCUCUUUAAUCUUUUCCCCAUUAUACUCAAGGUAAAUUUUCCUUUAGCGCUAUUCUACCAAUUAUAUCUUUACAAACAGGCAAGCAUCCUGUUAAAGUCUCUUUAUCCUGGCUACAGUAGAAACAAGUGAGCGUGAAUAGGUACUACCAUGCCCCCAUAAAUACAGCCAGCCAUCACAGAUCCAAACCAAGCAGGUUUGGGUCAUUGUCCCACAGCAGUCUUCCAAAACCUGUCUGAUCCGUCCAGGCCCUCUGUCACCAUUGUUGGUUUGCUGGGCACAACAUCCAGGUUAGCACUGGACCCUGGCUUGGUGUGCCACAGAUUUCAGAGCAAGACUGUUUUGUGCAUGCUUUGUUCCAGUAGGACCAAACUCCACUGACCAUCCUUGUGGCCAAACUGCACGCCAAGGUCUUAUCAACUGUCCUCCACAUAUUGGCCCACCUACUGCCUUCCAUUUAUUGAGCCCUAUGUCUGUCUUUAACUAGCACACUAACAGGUUCUCCCAAUAUCACAUCCACCAAGGUUCUCCUCCCUUCUCACGGGCUGUGUGUUUUGGGUUGAUUAACAGGUGUUUGUUUUGUGAGGGCUUUUCCAAGAUCAAAAUGCUAAUUUUUUUUGCUUGGCUCUCCAAAGUCACGUUGUAUUUGUUCUCUGUCUAAACUUGCAUUUGCAAUUCAGCCCUGCUAAGUAGCAUUAGUUGAUGCCAUUAAUGGCCUUUUAACUCCCCACAACCCGAUUAAUAGUGGAGAUAUUAAGUACACCCAAAAGUAAUGUUUACAAAAGCACCCAUGUGAUUUAGAAGCAUGAGUCCUGUCAAAUGUCUCUGUGUCAGCUUUGCCUUUAAAAGUGAACUUCAAAGUCUGACACAGACCCAGAGAGGUGGGAGCAAGCUUUGUUUUUUGGGUGGUUGUU